UGCGUAGGCGGUUCGGUAAGCAUCCUGUGAAAUCCCCCGGCUCAACCGGGGAACUGCAGGAUGUACUGCCGGACUUGAGGUACGUAAAGGUCACUGGAACUCUGGGUGGAGCGGUGAAAUGCGUAGAUAUCCAGGGGAACGCCGAUGGUGAAGACAGGUGGCUGGGCGUAUCCUGACGCUGAGGCACAGAAGCGUGGGGAGCGAACGGGAUUAGAUACCCCGGUAGUCCACGCCCUAAACGAUGUGCACUAGCUUUGGGGACUUCUGACAGUUUCUGAAGCGUAGGAAAACUGUUAAGUGUACCGCCUGGGGAGUACGGUCGCAGGAUUAAA
rnacentral:rRNA from 1 species